CUCAAAAUGAAAGAAAACCAACCCAGGAAUAAAAGUCUGGAUACGAAGGAAAAAAGACCCUGAAAUCUGAACAAUAUAGCCUAAGCCCAUAAAAGUGAAUGACAAAAGGCAGAAGGAAGGGAAUUUUCCUCUGCCCAGGCAAGGCAACCAGUGAAGCGAGUUUACAAAUUAAGAGGACUUGGGAAAACUUGGAGCAAGGUAACUUAGCAACAUUCCAUUGAAAACAGUGGGAAAACAUUUAGGAAAAGAAAGCUGAGAUGGAGAUGGCAGGUGUAGGAGGAAUCACAGAAAGGAGAGAGAUGGAUAUGGAUGUUGAUGAAAUGGACUCUUUGUUUGAAGGGAUGGUUCUUUUUACGCCAUCCCAGUUGGUAGAAGACCAUGAGCGAGAGCAAAAGCAAGAUCUUUAUCAACCUGAACUCGAAUCACAGAAUUUAACACAGCAGCAGCAUCAGGUUCAGGAGCCCCUUGAUGAGAAUCUGUUCUCUGACCUUAUUCUUCAAACCCCACUUGAUGAGCCAGAACCUGAACCCGAACACGAACCAGAACCAGAAGCAGGGCCUUCUGCUACUGUGUUCUCUAGGCAGAUGUCUUCUACUUAUAGAAAGAAAAGGAGAGCUAUUGGAUUCAGGAUUGGAUAUGGCAGAGAUAAUCAAAUUGAUAAUAAUACUGAUGGUCAUGAUACUGGAUUCAGGAUUGGAUAUGGUAGAGAUGAUACUGAUGGUCAUGAUGAUAAUCAUCCUUCUCUUCACACCAGUAACAUGACAAGCACCAAUAUAUCUUUGGCCUCGGACUCAGAUUCACAAUCACACCGAGUUCAGGCAGAGCAGCAAGAACAAAAACAAUCCAGUACUGAUGCCGAAGCCCAAUUUGAGCAAAUCAAGAUCCAGAUUGCUAAUAAACUCAGUCAUGCUCAUGAAUUAGCGGCCUCUAUAUCUGCAGCUCGCAAGGACUCCAUUAGUAGAAGAAGAAAGGCUGCUGAUGAUCUUCACUUAGUAACUAUUAGACUCAGGGACCUUGAAAAGCAAUUGGAGGAUGCUUGUGAAGCUGAAGAUUUUGAGGCUGCUGACAGUAUCAAUGAGAGCCUUGCAGCUGCUGACAAGGAUAAGCAGGCUCUCCUUACUGCUCUUCGAGAUGCUGAGGCACGAUGCAAUGCUAUUGAUUCCAAAAUGCUUGAGGUUCUCAACUGCCAGAUUGCUGUUGAGGAGGAGUGUGCCUCUUUGCUCCAUCAUUUCUCUGAGGAUGCUAUGAGUAAUGCUGAUCUGGUAUUCAAGAAAUCAGAAGCACAAUCUUCAGAAGAAAGGGAGAAAUGGCUUUCUUCAACUGAAGCCUUGGAGUUGAACAAGAUAGAAUUACAAAUUGAGGCACAUUUAUUAGAUGACGCUCGUGCGGUAUUCAACACUUCCCUUGACAGCUUGAUACAAGAUGACAAGAGAGAGAAAGAAUUUCUAUAUAGUCAAAAAGAUAUAUUGAGUGAUGAAUUGCAAAAGCUACUUGCCUUAGUGAAAGACAAGGAAAGAGAAAUUGCCGAAAAUGACUCUAAAAUCAAACAAGUAGAACAAAGGAUUGCUGAUGUGGUCUCUGGCUUUCAAGAGAUGCAAUCUAGCAUUGACUCAAAGUGUGACAACUUACUAUCUCAUCUUUCCCAGAUGGAAAUAGAGAGUGAAACUCUGUCAAAGAAAAAGGAAGAAAUUGACAAGCUUCUCACAGAAGAAGAAGAUAGGGGUAUUAAGAUCAAGGAGCUUGCCAGGAUUUCUGUAGAUGAAGCAAAAAUGUAUCAGGAAGUUGUUGGACUAAGAAAAACUUUUCUAUCCUCAGUUUUGAAGUCCAUGGAAGAUAAAGUGAGGCUUGCUAAGACUGAGGAGAAGCUUUCUGAGGAUGUCCAAGUGCUUCAACAGGAGGCUUCUACUGCAAGGGUUUCUCUACAGGAAUUAUCUUCAACAAAGUCAAGCAUUCAGCAAAAUAUAUCAUCUUUAAAGCAGAGGAUCUUUUUCAUAGACAAAAUAGUUCCAGACCUUGAAGCAGAAAAGAAGGUUGCUGCUGCUUCAAGAAAUUUUAAGGAAGCUGCGCGAUUAGCAGCUGAAGCAAAAUCGUUAAGCAUUGAAAGGGAAAGUGUACAAAUUGAAAUGGACAAAGCAGUGUUGGAUCUAGGCAAACUAGAGGAUAAGAUAAAGGAUAUAGUGGAGAAAUUGCAGCGGAUUGAAGGACUGAUUUUAUCCAAAGAAAAAGAAGUGGCAGUGGCUAGGUUCCAGAGAUUACUUCUAAUUGCUGGUGCUGCCAAAGCAGAAAGAUUGGCUGCUUUAGAGUUGGGUGACCUUGAAGGGGCCAACCUUCUACUUGCAGAGGCUGAUUCAGCUGAUUCUGAAGCAAAAGAGCUUCAACCAAAAUUCAAUUUGAAAGAAGAAGAGUUUGAAGAUUUACCAAAACACUUCAUCUCCCUGGAACUUUUAACAAACCUUGGCCAGAAGAAAUUAGCAGAUUUAGCUGCAUUGUCUGCUGCCUGAUGAUUCAAGCAGCUUUUGAUAAUUACAAGUUAAAACCGACUUCAGAAUUGCCUUCUUAGAUGCAAGAUGUGGGUUUGCCAUUUUCCCUUAUGCAGUUAUGCAUAAUUUCUCAAUGCUUCAGCGCCUUCAAAAACAACACAGCACCAUCUGGGUUGUGCUAUUUGGAUCUUUUGCUUGUACUCCAUGCCAACCAUUUGGAUCAUUCGAUACAUGUGGUCACAAGGAAAAACUAGAGUAAGGGAAUGGGCAUGGUGAAUCUUCAGGAAAUUGUGUUGGAGGCCAAUUCAAGUGUUUGAGAACCCCCAUUGCUUCAGAAAUUAUGCUUCUAAAAUGGGGCGAUAUGGAAAUGCAAGAUCUGUGUCAGUUUCAUCAACAAACAAGAGUGUGGGAAGUUUGUAUUUUGGGUGCAAUAUUCAUGUCAACUUGAAAAACAAAUACUUUUGAAAAUAUUUACCAGGCAAAAGUUAUGAUUUUUAGUAUCAUUUAUUUUGUUAUGGGAAAUUCAGUGCAAUUUG